GAUGAACGCUGGCGGCGUGCCUAAUACAUGCAAGUCGAGCGAACGGACGAGAAGCUUUCUUCUCUGCUGUUAGCGGCGGACGGGUGAGUAACACGUGGAUCACCUACCUAUAAGACUGGGAUAACUUCGGGAAACCGGAGCUAAUACCGGAUGAUAUUUUGAACCGCAUGGUUCAAAAGUGAAUGACGGUCUUGCUGUCACUUAUAGAUGGAUCCGCGCUGCAUUAGCUAGUUGGUAAGGUAACGGCUUACCAAGGCAACGAUGCAUAGCCGACCUGAGAGGGUGAUCGGCCACACUGGAACUGAGACACGGUCCAGACUCCUACGGGAGGCAGCAGUAGGGAAUAUUCCACAAUGGGCGAAAGCCUGACGGAGCAACGCCGCGUGAGUGAUGAAGGUCUUCGGAUCGUAAAACUCUGUUAUUAGGGAAGAACAUAUGUGUAAGUAACUGUGCACGUCUUGACGGUACCUAAUCAGAAAGCCACGGCUAACUACGUG
rnacentral:rRNA from 1 species